AUUGAACGCUGGCGGCAGGCCUAACACAUGCAAGUCGAGCGGAUGAAGGGAGCUUGCUCCUGGCUUCAGCGGCGGACGGGUGAGUAAUGCCUAGGAAUCUGCCUGGUAGUGGGGGAUAACGUCCGGAAACGGGCGCUAAUACCGCAUACGUCCUGAGGGAGAAAGUGGGGGAUCUUCGGACCUCACGCUAUCAGAUGAGCCUAGGUCGGAUUAGCUAGUUGGUGGGGUAAAGGCCUACCCAGGCGACGAUCCGUAACUGGUCUGAGAGGGUGAUCAGUCAACCCUGAACUUGGAACCGGUCCCAGCUCCUAAGGGAGGCAGCAGUGGGGAAUAUUGGACAAUGGGCGAAAGCCUGAUCCAGCCAUGCCGCGUGUGUGAAGAAGGUCUUCGGAUUGUAAAGCACUUUAAGUUGGGAGGAAGGGCAGUAAGUUAAUACCUUGCUGUUUUGACGUUACCAACAGAAUAAGCACCGGCUAACUUCGUG
rnacentral:rRNA from 1 species